UUUAACUAGUUAUUUUUAUAAAAUUCAAAUGCCAUAGAAUGUGCUGUCUGCUUACAUAGACAAAGCUCUUGAUGCAUUUUGAGAUGCCAGUUGUUUGAUGGGUGAAUUGUAAUGAAGCUUCCUUUAAGAUUAUCUGCAGAAGCAGACAAGUGAUCAUUGAAUUUAGUUUGCCAUCCUAUGGCCUAGGCUCCUGUUGUCAUGAAAACCUGAAAUUGAUUGCCAAACACUUGCACAGUAAUUUUGAGAUUCUUAUAAUUUAAAGCUCAAUCAUUUCUUGACUGAAGGAUACUUAUUGAGGAAGCUUCCAUCAUCAACCUCCGUUUAAAAAAUUUCUUACUGUGUGGAUUUUAAUCAGGGCAAUAAAAGGAUCAUCCACAAGCUCCACAUCACUCAGCCAUAUUAAAUUAUGAUGUAAUCUAGUAAAAAAAUCAAUAAGUGAGACCCAGUAAGGAACCUGAGACUGUUCAAGACUAGAAUGCAGGUAGGCACCAUAUGGCCAGAAAUGAAGUGACUACGUAUUAUCUUCAACCAGGGACAUUGGAUUUACUCAGUUUCUUUGGGCUGGGCAAAAAUGACCUUGUAAUGCAUUGAGUUAUAGGCUAGCAGACAUUAGGCACCACACUAUCCCUUCAAGGUACGGUCUUUUUAACAAGUCCUAGGAAGGGCUGUUUGAGUUAAUUCAGAGCCCGCAGAAGGGCUCACAACAACCUCCUUGUUUUGUCCUAACGUGAGCUGAUCCUUCUUGCAUCAGGUGGCUCCUCUGACUGUCCUGCCCUUUGGGUACUGGGCAAUUAAUCCACAAACGCAAAAUCCUGAACCCUGGGCUAAGAAAAUACGAACUGAUUUGGUAAACAAAUGAUAUGUAAAAUCUAUACGCACAGAGUGGCAAGUGACAAAGGAAAUUGCAAAUGCCCCUAAAUGCUCUUUCCCAUCGAUUGGCAGAGAGAAUCUAACACAUACACAGAGGAGAUGGAGCAUAAAAUUGGGCGGACUGACUCAGAGGGGGAACAAGGCUUCUCUAAUCAGCAAAGGGGCUGUCGGCAGGCGAUGUACAAAUGAAAGCGCGCUUUCUAAAUUUCCAAAGCACUAAAGGGAGAGAAAUGCGCAAUUACUGUGGGAUUCGCCCAGAGGAGCAGCCUCAGGAGUUGAAGGGGAUCCUGUCCCUCCCAGAGGAAAGCUCACGAUUGGAUUGGAACUUCUAGCGACUGCCUGAGGCAAACGCACAUAAGGGUCCCCAGAUGCAGCGAAUGAACAGGUUUUCCUCGUAAAAAUGAUGGAGGUGAAGGUGGGGAUGGGGGUGCUCUCCUCACUCCGGAAUCUGAAGCGGGAGAGAGCUGGAUAAACCGCCGAGAUGACCUAAGUGGUCUGAGGCGACCAGCAGCGCGUCCACAGUGGAGGACCCAGGCCUCGGCUCAGACAUGGCCUGCUCCGCUCUUUCCCUAGGCUCCUCUGCAACAUCAGGCAACCAAGGCCUGCGCUCUCCUUUUCCUGAGGAGACUCCCUGGAACCUUCAAGAACCCCCCGACAGCCACCAGGAUACCCGGUCUGAAUGGUUUCCUACCAAGAAAGACCCCGAAGACCUGCAGUUCUGUCCAGAAACGAGUUUUUAGGGUCACUUGAAUUUGAGCUGCUGCGAGGGCGGUGCUUUAGGGAGCAGAGUUCAAAGAGGAAUUCCUCAGGACCCUAGGCCAGGUCCGCGUUAAAGGGCGCCUUACAAACCUCCUCUCCCCACACUCCCCCGCAGCCCCUUCCCCAACGUUUAAGGCACCGGAUCUUGAGAAGCAAAUCUAGUGCCCAGCUUCAAAUCCCCGCCUUGGAAAAGUACAAAGAGAAAACUGAUUUUUCAAAUCCCAAAGCCCUUUCCUUUUAAGCAACUUGGAAAAACUCAGCUAUAAACGCUUUCUCCUCUUAUGCUAAAAUUGAAAACUUAUAGAUUUUAGAUGGAAUGAAGAGAAGAUAUAUUCCUUUUCCCUUUAAAUAGCCACAUUUCAAAUUGUGCCAGGCAGCAAUUUCUGCGAAAAAGGAGUGGCGGUUGGGAUUGUUUGGGAGAUGGAGUUUUAUUUGUUCCCAUUUAUUUUGUUUUAUUUUUGUUUUAUUUUUUUCUUUGAGUUUCUUUGUUAUUUUGAGAUUCAUCUAAGAGACUCAGAAUUCCACUCUGAAUAAAGCACUUUUUGUUGUUUCAAAAUUUCAAACUGACAUAAGUGUUGGAUCAUCAGUUUUCCCUUUGUCUGCCCUAGUUGUAAAUAAUGGCUUUGAGAUUAGCUAAUUAAGGGGCAUUAAUCACUGAUAGAAAGGGAAUAAAUCAAAGCCUUGUUCUAAAUUUCAAACUUGCCUGUAUAGAUGUGCAUAGCUACUCUAUCUGGAGCAGAUAGGUGCUGUUUGAAUUACUGUUCUUCAGAGUAAACCAAAUCCACUUCGCUUUUAAAAAAUGAAUAUUGUAUUUAUACAGCCUGG
rnacentral:lncRNA from 1 species